GGAAGUAAAAGUCGUAACAAGAUCUCCGUUGGUGAACCAGCGGAGGGAUCAUUAUCGAGUUUAUAACUCCCAAACCCUAUGUGAACUCACCACUUGUUGCUUCGGCGCGCGCUUCGGUGCCGCCGAGGACACUUAAACUCUUUGUUUUUAUAAGCAUUUCUGAGUGGCCGAAAGGCAAAAUACAAAUGAAUCAAAACUUUCAACAACGGAUCUCUUGGUUCUG
rnacentral:misc_RNA from 1 species